rnacentral:rRNA from 1 species
GGGGGGGUACGGACGGCAGUGAUUAGAGUUUGAUCCUGGCUCAGGAUGAACGCUAGCUACAGGCUUAACACAUGCAAGUCGAGGGGCAGCAUAACGAAAGCUUGCUUUUGUUGAUGGCGACCGGCGCACGGGUGAGUAACGCGUAUCCAACCUUCCCCAUAGUAGAGAAUAGCCCGGCGAAAGUCGGAUUAAUGCUCUAUGUUGUAUCAUGAGGACAUCUGAAUAAUACCAAAGGUUCACCGCUAUGGGAUGGGGAUGCGUCUGAUUAGGUUGUUGGCGGGGUAACGGCCCACCAAGCCCACGAUCAGUAGGGGUUCUGAGAGGAAGGUCCCCCACAUUGGAACUGAGACACGGUCCAAACUCCUACGGGAGGCAGCAGUGAGGAAUAUUGGUCAAUGGACGGAAGUCUGAACCAGCCAAGUAGCGUGCAGGAUGACGGCCCUAUGGGUUGUAAACUGCUUUUAUACAGGGAUAAAGUGAGGGACGUGUCCCUUUUUGUAGGUACUGUAUGAAUAAGGACCGGCUAAUUCCGUGCCAGCAGCCGCGGUAAUACGGAAGGUCCGGGCGUUAUCCGGAUUUAUUGGGUUUAAAGGGAGCGCAGGCUGAUGAUUAAGCGUGACGUGAAAUGUAGCCGCUCAACGGCUGAACUGCGUCGCGAACUGGUUAUCUUGAGUGAGUUCGAUGUUGGCGGAAUUCGUGGUGUAGCGGUGAAAUGCUUAGAUAUCACGAAGAACUCCGAUUGCGAAGGCAGCCAACAAGGCCUUUACUGACGCUAAAGCUCGAAGGUGCGGGUAUCGAACAGGAUUAGAUACCCUGGUAGUCCGCACGGUAAACGAUGGAUGCCCGCUGUUUGCGAUAUACUGUGAGCGGCCAAGAGAAAUCGUUAAGCAUCCCACCUGGGGAGUACGCCCGGCAACGGUGAAACUCAAAGGAAUUGACGGGGCCCGCACAAGCGGAGGAACAUGUGGUUUAAUUCGAUGAUACGCGAGGAACCUUACCCCGGGCUUGAACUG